ACACGAGAGAGGAGGUGAUCCGGAAGUGAUUUCUUUUCGGAUGCGUGAGGUGACUGCGGGCUGAGGCCUGUCGUCACAUGACGGCAGGCCUCCUGCCGUACAUCCAGCAGUCACCGGCCCGCGGGCUCGUCGGCACAUCCGGCCGACCUCUCUUGCCAGCAGGAGAGAGCAGAGCCCGCGGGCUUCUGCGU
rnacentral:sRNA from 1 species